rnacentral:rRNA from 1 species
GACGAACGCUGGCGGCGUGCCUAAUACAUGCAAGUUGAGCGCUGAAGGUUGGUACUUGUACCAACUGGAUGAGCAGCGAACGGGUGAGUAACGCGUGGGGAAUCUGCCUUUGAGCGGGGGACAACAUUUGGAAACGAAUGCUAAUACCGCAUAAAAACUUUAAACACAAGUUUUAAGUUUGAAAGAUGCAAUUGCAUCACUCAAAGAUGAUCCCGCGUUGUAUUAGCUAGUUGGUGAGGUAAAGGCUCACCAAGGCGAUGAUACAUAGCCGACCUGAGAGGGUGAUCGGCCACAUUGGGACUGAGACACGGCCCAAACUCCUACGGGAGGCAGCAGUAGGGAAUCUUCGGCAAUGGUCGAAAGUCUGACCGAGCAACGCCGCGUGAGUGAAGAAGGUUUUCGGAUCGUAAAACUCUGUUGGUAGAGAAGAACGUUGGUGAGAGUGGAAAGCUCAUCAAGUGACGGUAACUACCCAGAAAGGGACGGCUAACUACGUG